rnacentral:rRNA from 1 species
GCAGAUCCUCUUCGGAGGUGACGCCUGUGGAACGAGCGGCGGACGGGUGAGUAACACGUGGGCAACCUGCCUGUAAGAUUGGGAUAACCCCGGGAAACCGGGGCUAAUACCGGAUAAUACUUUUCGUUGCAUAACGAGAAGUUGAAAGGCGGCUUUUAGCUGUCACUUACAGAUGGGCCCGCGGCGCAUUAGCUAGUUGGUAAGGUAACGGCUUACCAAGGCGACGAUGCGUAGCCGACCUGAGAGGGUGAUCGGCCACACUGGGACUGAGACACGGCCCAGACUCCUACGGGAGGCAGCAGUAGGGAAUCUUCCGCAAUGGACGAAAGUCUGACGGAGCAACGCCGCGUGAGUGAUGAAGGUUUUCGGAUCGUAAAACUCUGUUGUCAGGGAAGAACAAGUGCCGUUCAAAUAGGGCGGCACCUUGACGGUACCUGACCAGAAAGCCCCGGCUAACUACGUGCCAGCAGCCGCGGUAAUACGUAGGGGGCAAGCGUUGUCCGGAAUUAUUGGGCGUAAAGCGCGCGCAGGCGGUCCUUUAAGUCUGAUGUGAAAGCCCACGGCUUAACCGUGGAGGGCCAUUGGAAACUGGAGGACUUGAGUACAGAAGAGGAGAGUGGAAUUCCACGUGUAGCGGUGAAAUGCGUAGAGAUGUGGAGGAACACCAGUGGCGAAGGCGACUCUCUGGUCUGUAACUGACGCUGAGGUGCGAAAGCGUGGGGAGCGAACAGGAUUAGAUACCCUGGUAGUCCACGCCGUAAACGAUGAGUGCUAGGUGUUAGGGGGUUUCCGCCCCUUAGUGCUGAAGUUAACGCAUUAAGCACUCCGCCUGGGGAGUACGGCCGCAAGGCUGAAACUCAAAAGAAUUGACGGGGGCCCGCACAAGCGGUGGAGCAUGUGGUUUAAUUCGAAGCAACGCGAAAAACCUUACCAGGUCUUGACAUCCUCUGCCAAUCCUAAAAAUAGGAUGUUCCCUUCGGGG